rnacentral:rRNA from 1 species
UACGAAGGGGGGCUAGCGUUGUUCGGAAUUACUGGGCGUAAAGCGCGCGCAGGCGGUCUUCCAAGUCAGUGGUGAAAGCCCGGAGCUCAACUCCGGAACUGCCAUUGAAACUGUUAGACUUGAGGAUGAGAGAGGUGAGUGGAAUUCCCGGUGUAGCGGUGAAAUGCGCAGAUAUCGGGAGGAACACCGGUGGCGAAGGCGGUUCUCUGGACAUUUCCUGACGCUCAGGCACGAAAGCCAGGGGAGCAAACGGGG